rnacentral:rRNA from 1 species
GAUGAACGCUAGCGGCAGGCUUGAUACAUGCAAGUCGAGGGGUAGCAAGAUUGUAGCAAUACAAUUGUUGACGACCGGCAAACGGGUGCGGAACACGUACACAACCUUCCUACAAGUGGGGAAUAGCCCAGAGAAAUUUGGAUUAAUACCCCGUAACAUAGCGAUGUGGCAUCACAUUGCUAUUAUAGCUUCGGCGCUUGUUGAUGGGUGUGCGGCUGAUUAGAUAGUUGGCGGGGUAACGGCCCACCAAGUCUACGAUCAGUAGCUGAUGUGAGAGCAUGAUCAGCCACACGGGCACUGAGACACGGGCCCGACUCCUACGGGAGGCAGCAGUAAGGAAUAUUGGACAAUGGACGCAAGUCUGAUCCAGCCAUGCCGCGUGAAGGAUUAAGGCCCUCUGGAUUGUAAACUUCUUUUAUAAGGGACGAAAAAAGGUCUUUCUAGAUCGUCUGACGGUACCUUAUGAAUAAGCACCGGCUAACUCCGUGCCAGCCGCCGCGGUAAGAC